UUGGGUUCAUUACUACUGAGCCACAGUGGUAACUCCUAAUAAAAGAUUUUUUAAAAAACAAAUUACAUGCCUGCAGUUUUCCCGCAUAGUCUGGAGAAUAGUACAGACUGUCAGUGUGUUAAGAGAAUGAGUAAGUUUGAUCUUCCUCAGAGAAUGAUUCUUGAUUCUGGGAAAAAAGCCUGGCCAGAUCCCAUAACACUUUAACCAAACAGAACCACAUAAACCAAAGUGAAUAUUUAAAAUACAAUCAACCUAUUUUUCAGAGUUGUAAGAUGUUUGGACUAAAAAAUAAAUAAACAGGAUUUUCAACUAGAAAAAUUGUCCUGUUUUGACCUUUACAUUAAUUUUCUGGAUAGUUGGGUUGGGAAUUCCAAACUUUUAUGUGUUCCUUUUUUGGGGAGGGGGCGGGAUGCUUUGGGGUUGUUAUUUGAGAGUGUUUCUAGCUGUAUAACUUGGAGCCUGUGUCUAUUCUGAAAAAAUAAUACAUGUUUAGAUUAGUAAAAUUCUAGAGUAUUCAGGUUUUUUCAAACCAAGGAAAGAGACAUUUAUUGAUAAAUAAUUCUGGUUGUCCAUUCUCUUAGGGUUUUGUGAAUAAUAUAUAGCAUUGUGAUCAGUGCUCAAGAUGCCAUGUCUUAGGAAUUCAAACUCAACUUCUUUGCACAAGCUCUGUUGGAACUUAAGAGAGAAGAAAUGAAGUUCUGUAAACAAAGUUCAGAAAGACGCCCUUUGGUUCCAGGAAAGGAUUCACUUUGGCUCUACUCUUGAUCUGGGUUGAAUUGGCAGCUGCAUCGUCUUCUCUGGGAACCCCCAAGUAGCUUGGAGAACUGAUGUUGCAUAAAAGAGUAAUAGCUGUCAUUUGAAAUAAUUAAUGUGUGGGUUCCUCCGGUGGUACAGUGAGAAGCAAAAUAUUUAUUAAAGACUGGCUUGUAUAUGUAAGGAAAAACUAGACCCUGGAGACAGUCACAAAAAAAAAAAAAAAAAAAAAAAAAAAAA